GACGAACGCUGGCGGCGUGCUUAACACAUGCAAGUCGAACGGUGAACGAGGGAGCUUGCUCCCUCCGGAUCAGUGGCGAACGGGUGAGUAACACGUGAGCAAUCUGCCCCGAACUCUGGGAUAAGCGUUGGAAACGACGUCUAAUACCGGAUACGACGCGGGAGGGCAUCCUCUCCGCGUGGAAAGAACUUCGGUUCGGGAUGAGCUCGCGGCCUAUCAGCUUAUUGGUGAGGUAACGGCUCACCAAGGCGACGACGGGUAGCCGGCCUGAGAGGGUGACCGGCCACACUGGGACUGAGACACGGCCCAGACUCCUACGGGAGGCAGCAGUGGGGAAUAUUGCACAAUGGGCGCAAGCCUGAUGCAGCAACGCCGCGUGAGGGACGACGGCCUUCGGGUUGUAAACCUCUUUUAGCAGGGAAGAAGCGAAAGUGACGGUACCUGCAGAAAAAGCACCGGCUAACUACGUG
rnacentral:rRNA from 1 species